rnacentral:sRNA from 1 species
AGACUCAUGUAUAUUAUAAGACAGUGCA